GACGAACGCUGGCGGCGUGCUUAACACAUGCAAGUCGAACGGAAAGGCCCUGCUUUUGUGGGGUGCUCGAGUGGCGAACGGGUGAGUAACACGUGAGUAACCUGCCCUUGACUUUGGGAUAACUUCAGGAAACUGGGGCUAAUACCGGAUAGGAGCUCCUGCUGCAAGGUGGGGGUUGGAAAGUUUCGGCGGUUGGGGAUGGACUCGCGGCUUAUCAGCUUGUUGGUGGGGUAGUGGCUUACCAAGGCUUUGACGGGUAGCCGGCCUGAGAGGGUGACCGGCCACAUUGGGACUGAGAUACGGCCCAGGCUCCUACGGGAGGCAGCAGUAGGGAAUAUUGAACAAUGGGCGGAAGCCUGAUGCAGCAACGCCGCGUGCGGGAUGACGGCCUUCGGGUUGUAAACCGCAUUCGCCUGUGACGAAGCGUGAGUGACGGUAAUGGGUAAAGAAGCACCGGCUAACUACGUG
rnacentral:rRNA from 1 species